UACGAAGGGUGCGAGCGUUGUUCGGAUUUACUGGGCGUAAAGGGCGCGUAGGCGGCCCUCCUUGUCGCGUGUGAAAGCCCCGGGCUCAACCUGGGAAUUGCGCGCGAAACGGGGGGGCUUGAGUUCGGGAGAGGAGCGUGGAAUUCCCAGUGUAGAGGUGAAAUUCGUAGAUAUUGGGAAGAACACCGGUGGCGAAGGCGGCGAGCUGGUCCAUUACUGACGCUGAGGCGCGACAGCGUGGGGAGCAAACAGG
rnacentral:rRNA from 1 species